UGACGUUAAUGAAUGUGGCCUUCUUUA
rnacentral:sRNA from 1 species